CCACACCGCACAGCUGCCUGAGGGGAUGUGUCACUCAGGGAGUUGCUGGGACCCACUGGGCCAGCGUUGCCAUCAGCACCAACAGCUUCAGAGAGUGGGACACAGGCUGGGGUGACUCCAAGGCUGUGGGUGGCACCUGCCUCAGAGAAGGGACAGGCACAGAGACACUACUGGGAUACUGGCCACCCCCAUGCCCUGUGCCUAGGUCACAGCCCACACACUGCAGCCCUGUGCCCCUCACGCCCAGCAGGUUCCUGCUCCAGCACAGCUCCUGGACUGGCCCCAGGUGCUGGCCCCGGGGUUUUCGGGAAGCAUAAUUCAUGGAAGUAUGUGUUUGGCAGCGGGACCCAGCUCACUGUUUUAGGUCAGCCCAAGGCCACCCCCUCGGUCACUCUGUUCCUGCCAUCCUUUGAGGAGCUCCAAGCCAACAAGGCCACGCUGGUGUGUCUCAUGAGUGACUUCUAUCCGGGAAUCUUAAUGGUGACCUGGAGGGCAGAUGGUACCCCCAUCACCCAGGGCGUGGAGAUGACCACACCCUCCAAACAGAGCAAGAAGUACACAGCCAGCAGCUACCUGAGCCUGACGCCCGAGCAGUGGAGGUCCCGCAGAAGCUACAGCUGCCAGGUCACGCAUGAAGGGAGCACCGUGGAGAAGACAGUGGCCCCUGCAGAAUGUUCGUAGGUUCCCAACCCUCACCCCAGCCACAGGGGCCUGGAGCUGCAGGAUCCCAGGGGAGGGGUCUCUCUGCAUCCCAAGCCAGCCAGCCCUUCUCCCUGUACCCAGUAAACCCUCAAUAAAUAUUGUCUUGGU